rnacentral:rRNA from 1 species
AGAGUUUGAUCCUGGCUCAGGAUGAACGCUAGCGGGAGGCUUAACACAUGCAAGUCGUGGGGCAGCACGGGGUAGCAAUACUCUGGUGGCGACCGGCGCACGGGUGAGUAACGCGUAUGCAACCUACCCUGUACAGGGGGAUAGCCCGGAGAAAUUCGGAUUAAUACCCCAUAAUGAUAUUUAGUGGCAUCACUGAAUAUUUAAAGCUUCGGCGGUACAGGAUGGGCAUGCGUAAGAUUAGCUAGUUGGUAGGGUAACGGCCUACCAAGGCUCCGAUCUUUAGGGGUCCUGAGAGGGUGAUCCCCCACACUGGUACUGAGACACGGACCAGACUCCUACGGGAGGCAGCAGUGAGGAAUAUUGGGCAAUGGGCGCAAGCCUGACCCAGCCAUGCCGCGUGAAGGAUGAAUGCCCUACGGGUUGUAAACUUCUUUUGUACGGGACGAAACUCUUGGUCGUGACCGAGAUUGACGGUACCGUGCGAAUAAGCAUCGGCUAACUCCGUGCCAGCAGCCGCGGUAAUACGGAGGAUGCGAGCGUUAUCCGGAUUCAUUGGGUUUAAAGGGUGCGUAGGCGGAAUAGUAAGUCAGUGGUGAAAGCCUGCGGCUUAACCGUAGAAUUGCCAUUGAUACUGUUAUUCUUGAGUAUAGUUGAAGUGGGCGGAAUGUGUAAUGUAGCGGUGAAAUGCUUAGAUAUUACACAGAACACCAAUUGCGAAGCAGCUCACUAAGCUGUUACUGACGCU